UGGGGAAUUUUGCACAAUGGGGGAAACCCUGAUGCAGCGACGCCGCGUGAUUUAGAAGGCCUUCGGGUUGUAAAAAUCUUUUCUAUGGGAAGAAAAUGACAGUACCAUAGGAAUAAGGACCGGCUAAUUACGUGCCAGCAGCCGCGGUAAUACGUAAGGUCCGAGCGUUGUCCGGAAUCAUUGGGCGUAAAGGGUACGUAGGCGGGUAAGCAAGUUAGAAGUGAAAUCCUAUAGCUCAACUAUAGUAAGCUUUUAAAACUGCUCAUCUUGAGGUAUGGAAGGGAAAGUGGAAUUCCUAGGGUAGUGGUGAAAUGCGCAGAUAUUAGGAGGAAUACCGGUGGCGAAGGCGACUUUCUGGCCAUAACCUGACGCUGAGGUACGAAAGCGUGGGUAGCAAACAGG
rnacentral:rRNA from 1 species